AUCGUCCGGCAACAAUUUUACCCGACACAACGGACACGUGGCGCGGUAUUCUUGCAGCCACGUGUCCAAGCAGUCCCUGUGGAACACGUGUUGGCAUUUAAGGCUCCUCACUUUCUCCUCUUCCUUGAACUCCGACAAACACACCGUGCACUGCACGUGACGUGGCUUCAUCUCAUUUGUGUACGGAAUCGUUGGGUUCGUCUCUUCGAUGGAUCUCAGGUACGCUAAUAGGAUUAUUAUUCUGCCGCAAAGACGGUUGAAGAGCUUAGAGAGAGAUGUCAUGGCGGCUGCUAGUUAACUAAUGGAUUCAUAUGCAAAUGUUUUUACUUUUCUAUACAAAUGUUAUGAUCAUGAUAUCAUAUGUUUUGACGAA